rnacentral:rRNA from 1 species
GAUGAACGCUGGCGGCGUGCCUAAUACAUGCAAGUCGAGCGAACAGACGAGGAGCUUGCUCCUCUGAUGUUAGCGGCGGACGGGUGAGUAACACGUGGAUAACCUACCUAUAAGACUGGGAUAACUUCGGGAAUCCGGAGCUAAUACCGGAUAACAUGUUGAACCGCAUGGUUCAACAGUGAAAGACGGUCUUGCUGUCACUUAUAGAUGGAUCCGCGCCGCAUUAGCUAGUUGGUAAGGUAACGGCUUACCAAGGCAACGAUGCGUAGCCGACCUGAGAGGGUGAUCGGCCACACUGGAACUGAGACACGGUCCAGACUCCUACGGGAGGCAGCAGUAGGGAAUCUUCCGCAAUGGGCGAAAGCCUGACGGAGCAACGCCGCGUGAGUGAAGAAGGUCUUCGGAUCGUAAAACUCUGUUAUUAGGGAAGAACAAAUGUGUAAGUAACUAUGCACGUCUUGACGGUACCUAAUCAGAAAGCCACGGCUAACUACGUG